CAAUAGCGUAUAUUAAAGCUGUUGCGGUUAAAAAGCUCGUAGUUGGAUUUCUGUCAAGGACAACUGGUCCGCCCUCCGGGUGAGCACAUAGUUUGGUCUUGGCAUCUUGCUGGAAACUGUUGCUGCGCUUGGUUGUGUGGUGCAGCUUUCAGCACUUUCACUUUGAGGAAAUUGGAGUGUUUCAAGCAGGCACAUGCCUUUGGACACAGUAGCAUGGAAUAAUUAGAUUGGGCUUUUGCUCCAACUUGUUGGUUCCUGGAGCUGAGGUGAGAAUCAAUGGGGAUUGUUGGGGGCAUCCGAAUUUAGCCGUCAGAGGUGAAAUUCUUGGAUUUGUUAAAGACGGACUACUGCGAAAGCAUUUGCCAAGGAUGUUUUCAUUGA
rnacentral:rRNA from 1 species